rnacentral:rRNA from 1 species
CAGCAGCCACGGUAAUACGAAGGGGGCUAGCGUUGCUCGGAAUGACUGGGCGUAAAGGGCGCGUAGGCGGAUGGCACAGUCAGAUGUGAAAUUCCCGGGCUUAACCUAGGGGCUGCAUUUGAUACGUGUUGUCUAGAGUGAGGAAGAGGGUCGUGGAAUUCCCAGUGUAGAGGUGAAAUUCGUAGAUAUUGGGAAGAACACCGGUGGCGAAGGCGGCGACCUGGUCCUUUACUGACGCUGAGGCGCGAAAGCGUGAGGAGCAAACAGGAUUAGAUACCCGUGUAGUCCCUGUCUCUUAUAC